rnacentral:tRNA from 1 species
GGUUUUUUAGCUCAGUUGGUUAGAGCGUGCGACUCAUAAUCGCCCGGUCGCUGGUUCAACGUCCAGCAAGGGCCACCA